UAUGUACUCCCUCUGUUCCGAAUUACUUGUCGCGGGUAUGGAUGUAUCUAGAUGUAUUUUAGUUCUAGAUACAUCCAUUUCUGCGACAAGUAAUUCAGAACGGAGGGAGUAUGUA
rnacentral:pre_miRNA from 1 species